GACUAUUGGCGUUCAGCCAAUGGAAGUAUGAGGCGAUACAGGGUCUGUGAUGCCCUUAGAUGUUCUGGGCCGCACGCGCGCUACACUGACGCGACCAACGAGCCUAUCCUUGGCCGAGAGGCCCGGGUAAUCUUGUAAACCGCGUCGUGAUGGGGAUAGAUUAUUGCAAUUAUUAGUCUUCAACGAGGAAUGCCUAGUAAGCGCGAGUCAUCAGCUCGCGUUGAUUACGUCCCUGCCCUUUGUACACACCGCCCGUCGCUCCUACCGAUUGGGUGUGCUGGUGAAGUGUUCGGAUUGACUUUGACUGGGGCAACCUGGUCAUGGUUGAGAAGUUCAUUAAACCCUCCCACCUAGAGGAAGGAGAAGUCGUAACAAGGUUUCCGUAGGUGAACCUGCGGAAGGAUCAUUGAAUCUAUCGAAAUCCACACCUGUGAAUCAUUUGGUUGGCCUCUCAGGACACAUCAGUUUGUACGGCAGAAAUGCCGUACAAAUUCUUGAGGUGAUGUAUGUGUGGAGUGGUCCCCACUCCACUCAGACAUCAGGCAUUGUUGUUGUCCUUUCUGCUAAUAAGCAGAGCACACACAGUGUUGGCCCUUCUUAGUCUAACCGACUAACCUUAACCCAAUUACAUCUAUUUUUGAGACAUGGAGAGAUCAGCUUAGAGCUGUAUCCCUCAGAAAUCAAGACAACUCUCAACAACGGAUAUCUUGGCUCUCAGAUCGAUGAAGAACGCAGCGAAAUGCGAUACGUAGUGUGAAUUGCAGAAAUACGUGAAUCAUCGAAUCUUUGAACGCAAAUUGCGCUUGAGGCUUCGGCCAAGAGCAUGUCUGCCUCAGCGUCGGGUUAAAUCUCAAUNNNNNNNNNNNNNNNNNNNNNNNNNNNNNNNNNNNNNNNNNNNNNNNNNNCUUACCAGGUCCAGACACGGGAAGGAUUGACAGAUUGAGAGCUCUUUCUUGAUUCUGUGGGUGGUGGUGCAUGGCCGUUCUUAGUUGGUGGGUUGCCUUGUCAGGUUGAUUCCGGUAACGAACGAGACCUCAGCCUGCUAAAUAGUCAGCAUCGCACNUGCGGUGCGCAGACUUCUUAGAGGGACUAUUGGCGUUCAGCCAAUGGAAGUAUGAGGCGAUAACAGGUCUGUGAUGCCCUUAGAUGUUCUGGGCCGCACGCGCGCUACACUGACGCGACCAACGAGCCUAUCCUUGGCCGAGAGGCCCGGGUAAUCUUGUAAACCGCGUCGUGAUGGGGAUAGAUUAUUGCAAUUAUUAGUCUUCAACGAGGAAUGCCUAGUAAGCGCGAGUCAUCAGCUCGCGUUGAUUACGUCCCUGCCCUUUGUACACACCGCCCGUCGCUCCUACCGAUUGGGUGUGCUGGUGAAGUGUUCGGAUUGACUUUGACUGGGGCAACCUGGUCAUGGUUGAGAAGUUCAUUAAACCCUCCCACCUAGAGGAAGGAGAAGUCGUAACAAGGUUUCCGUAGGUGAACCUGCGGAAGGAUCAUUGAAUCUAUCAAAAUCCACACCUGUGAAUCAUUUGGUUGGCCUCUCAGGACACAUCAGUUUGUACGGCAGAAAUGCCGUACAAAUUCUUGAGGUGAUGUAUGUGUGGAGUGGUCCCCACUCCACUCAGACAUCAGGCAUUGUUGUUGUCCUUUCUGCUAAUAAGCAGAGCACACACAGUGUUGGCCCUUCUUUGUCUAACCGACUAACCUUAACCCAAUUACAUCUAUUUUUGAGACAUGGAGAGAUCAGCUUAGAGCUGUAUCCCUCAGAAACCAAGACGACUCUCAACAACGG
rnacentral:lncRNA from 1 species